rnacentral:rRNA from 1 species
ACGCACGCUGGCGGCGUGCUUAACACAUGCAAGUCGAACGGUGAAGCGCCUUCCUUUUUGGUGGGUGUGGAUGAGUGGCGAACGGGUGAGUAACACGUGAGUAACCUGCCCCCUUCUUCUGGAUAACCGCAUGAAAGUGUGGCUAAUACGGGAUAUUCUGGGUCUGUCGCAUGAUGGGUCUGGGAAAGAUAUUGUUUCGGUGGGGGAUGGGCUCGCGGCCUAUCAGCUUGUUGGUGGGGUGAUGGCCUACCAAGGCGGUGACGGGUAGCCGGCCUGAGAGGGUGGACGGUCACACGGGGACUGAGACACGGCCCAGACUCCUACGGGAGGCAGCAGUGGAGAAUAUUGCACAAUGGGCGCAAGCCUGAUGCAGCGACGCCGCGUGAGGGAUGGAGGCCUUCGGGUUGUGAACCUCUUUCGCCAGUGAAGCAGGCCUGCCUCGUUUGUGGGUGGGUUGACGGUAGCUGGAUAAGAAGCGCCGGCUAACUACGUG